CUCCCUCGUUGCUGACCCCAGGUUCGAUAGUACCAAUUAGCAUCACCUCGCCAAGAACCAACUUCGAUGAAGCGACGGGCGGUGUGUGCAAGGAG
rnacentral:rRNA from 1 species